CGGCAAACAAAAGUUGUGAUGCAGGCUGGCACUCCCUAUCAGGACACUCCUGAAGUGACCACUCAACAAGAAGCAGAGUCUACCUCCCCAUGAACGUUACUGCCAGGACACAUCACAUCUUAAAACCUAGACAGCAACUGAGGGAGAGUCCAUCCAACCCAGCAUGAGUGAAGUGAUACAGCUAUAGCCAAAAGUGGGCAAUGCACAACCUACGUAUUGCACCAGAUCAAGCUAAAAGCUAAUUUCCACAGAGAGAAGUCCUGAACACAUUAUGGUUUUUCAUUAAAAAUAUAUUUCAUCCUAUUAUUUGGAGGAUAAUGUAUCAAUGAUCAAAAUUGUCAUUCAUUUUACAUCACAUUACAAGUCCUUCAUUGAGCACAAUACUACUCUGAAAAGUAGCUU